rnacentral:rRNA from 1 species
UUAGAGUUUGAUCAUGGCUCAGGAUUAACGCUAGCGGCAGGCAUAAUACAUGCAAGUUGAACGAGAUUAGUUUUAGCAAUAGAACUUUUUUAGUGGCGCACGGGUGCGUAACGCGUAUGCAACCUACCUUAAACAGGGGAAUAGCCUCUCGAAAGAGAGAUUAAUACCGCAUAAUAUAUAUUUAGAGCAUUCUAGAUAUAUUAAACCUACGGGGGUUUAAGAUGGGCAUGCGUGACAUUAGCUAGUUGGUGAGGUAAUGGCUCACCAAGGCAACGAUGUCUAGGGGGUCUGAGAGGAUGUCCCCCCACACUGGUACUGAGACACGGACCAGACUCCUACGGGAGGCAGCAGUAGGGAAUAUUGGUCAAUGGAGGCAACUCUGAACCAGCCAUGCCGCGUGCAGGACUAAGGCCCUAUGGGUCGUAAACUGCUUUUGAACGGGAAGAAAUGUAUCUACGUGUAGAUAUUUGACGGUACCGUUAGAAUAAGGAUCGGCUAACUUCGUGCCAGCAGCCGCGGUAAUACGAAGGAUCCAAGCGUUGUCCGGAUUUACUGGGUUUAAAGGGUGCGUAGGCGGACUUAUAAGUCAGUGGUGAAAGCCUUCAGCUUAACUGAAGAACUGCCAUUGAAACUGUAAGUCUCGAGUUCGGUUGGGGUCAUUGGAAUGUAACAUGUAGCGGUGAAAUGCAUAGAUAUGUUACAGAACACCAAUUGCGAAGGCAGAUGACUAAACCGAAACUGACGCUGAGGCACGAAAGCGUGGGGAUCAAACAGGAUUAGAUACCCUGGUAGUCCACGCCCUAAACGUUGAAUACUCGACCUUAGCGAUAUACAGUUAGGGUCCAAGCGAAAGCGUUAAGUAUUCCACCUGGGAAGUACGUUCGCAAGAAUGAAACUCAAGGAAUUGACGGGGGCCCGCACAA